rnacentral:rRNA from 1 species
GACGUAGGGGGCGAGCGUUGUCCGGAUUUAUUGGGCGUAAAGCGUGCGUAGGCGGCUGCGCAAGUCGGUUGUGAAACCCCGGGGCUCAACCCCGGAGCUGCAUCCGAUACUGCGUGGCUAGAGGUAGGUAGGGGAGAUCGGAAUUCCUGGUGUAGCGGUGAAAUGCGCAGAUAUCAGGAGGAACACCGGUGGCGAAGGCGGGUCUCUGGGCCGAUACUGACGCUGAGGAGCGAAAGCGUGGGGAGCAAACAGG